rnacentral:rRNA from 1 species
UACAGAGGGGGCAAGCGUUGUUCGGAAUUACUGGGCGUAAAGGGCGCGUAGGCGGCCUUCUAAGUCGAACGUGAAAUCCCCGGGCUCAACCCGGGAACUGCGUCCGAGACUGGGAGGCUUGAAUCCGGGAGAGGGAUGUGGAAUUCCAGGUGUAGCGGUGAAAUGCGUAGAUAUCUGGAGGAACACCGGUGGCGAAGGCGGCAUCCUGGACCGGUAUUGACGCUGAGGCGCGAAAGCCAGGGGAGCAAACGGG